rnacentral:ncRNA from 1 species
UCAUUCCGUUGCACAGCAGUGGAAUAUUUCUCCUCUAUUUCUCCUUUGUAGAUUUUUGCACCUAUCCUUUGAUAGGUGCUUUUUU